UUGAGUAAUGGUAUUAAAAAAUAGAAACUUGAUAAAUUUGAUGGUAUAAAGCAGUGAAGUCUCAAAUUUAAAGCGCCGAUUUAUUAUAUAUUUGAAUUAUUUAAUGUACCUAACUGUUGGCGCAAGGUAAUAAUGUGAUGUAAGAGAGGUAAAUUCAUAAAGAUAAAAUUAUAUUAUAUUAUUAUAUGAAUAAAAUAGUAUGAUAAUCAUUAUUAGCUAGCGAGAUAAAAACAAAGAAUAUUAUAAAUAUAAUUCAUAUUCAUAUAAUUAAAGAACUGGAAGGACCUGCGGAAGCCGAAUGAAAGGAGUGAGCAACAGAAGAGAAUAAUAAAUUAUCUACCAUAAUGUUGUCGACCCUCUUUUGAUGAAAAAAUUGGACUUUGUAAUAAAUUGAUCUUCACUCCUGGAGCAAUACAAAAAUUUGAUUGCUCGUUGGAUUUCCAUUAAACUGCAUAAUUGAUAUACAAUAUUAAGUUCGAAUCCCGGUUACUGUGGAGAAAAAAAUUAACUGCGUUUUGGUGCAGAACGUCUUGAACUAUUUGGCUGGAUUUAUUUCUGUAAAAGUUCUGGAAUUCCUUUGAAACUGAUUGGAAUGGUAUUUUUUAAAGGGAAUACCACUCAAUUCAAAGAGUUAUGCAAUAAUGAGGUUGAAAAUGACUAGUACUUAUAAUUAAAAAUUACAAGGGUUUGAAUUUGGCCCUCAAUAUGUUUUAA
rnacentral:lncRNA from 1 species